rnacentral:tRNA from 1 species
GGUGGCUCAGUGGUAGAGUGUUUGCCUUGCAUGCAUAAGGCCCUGGGUUCGAUUCCUCAGCACCA